rnacentral:rRNA from 1 species
AGGACGAACGCUGGCGGCGCGCUUAAUACAUGCAAGUCGAGCGAGAACCGGUCCUUCGGGACCGGGGAAAGCGGCGAACGGGUGAGUAACACGUGGGUAAUCUACCCUCGGUACUGGGAUAGCCCGGGGAAACCCGGAUUAAUACCGGAUAGCCUUUCGAGCUCUUGGGCUCGUUAGAAAAGGUGGCUUCGGCUUCCGACUGAGGAUGAGCCCGCGGCGGAUUAGCUUGUUGGUGAGGUAAUGGCUCACCAAGGCUUCGAUCCGUAGCUGGUCUGAGAGGACGAUCAGCCACACUGGGACUGAGACACGGCCCAGACUCCUACGGGAGCAGCAGUAGGGAAUCUUGCGCAAUGGGCGAAAGCCUGACGCAGCGACGCCGCGUGCGGAAGAAGGCCUUCGGGUUAGUAAACCGUCUUCGAGGAGGACGAAGCCACUCGGUAACUACCCGAGAGGUGACGUACUCCGAGAAGAACGCCCGCUAACUACGUCGCCAGCACGCCGC